GACGAACGCUGGCGGCGCGCCUAACACAUGCAAGUCGAACGAGAGAAGAAGAGCUUGCUCUUUAAAUCGAGUGGCGAACGGGUGAGUAACGCGUGAGGAACCUGCCUCAAAGAGGGGGACAACAGUUGGAAACGACUGCUAAUACCGCAUAAGCCCACGGCUCGGCAUCGAGCAGAGGGAAAAGGAGCAAUCCGCUUUGAGAUGGCCUCGCGUCCGAUUAGCUAGUUGGUGAGGUAACGGCCCACCAAGGCGACGAUCGGUAGCCGGACUGAGAGGUUGAACGGCCACAUUGGGACUGAGACACGGCCCAGACUCCUACGGGAGGCAGCAGUGGGGAAUAUUGCACAAUGGGGGAAACCCUGAUGCAGCGACGCCGCGUGGAGGAAGAAGGUCUUCGGAUUGUAAACUCCUGUUGUUGAGGAAGAUAAUGACGGUACUCAACAAGGAAGUGACGGCUAACUACGUGCCAGCAGCCGCGGUAAAACGUAGGUCACAAGCGUUGUCCGGAAUUACUGGGUGUAAAGGGAGCGCAGGCGGGAGAACAAGUUGGAAGUGAAAUCCAUGGGCUCAACCCAUGAACUGCUUUCAAAACUGUUUUUCUUGAGUAGUGCAGAGGUAGGCGGAAUUCCCGGUGUAGCGGUGGAAUGCGUAGAUAUCGGGAGGAACACCAGUGGCGAAGGCGGCCUACUGGGCACCAACUGACGCUGAGGCUCGAAAGUGUGGGUAGCAAACAGGAUUAGAUACCCUGGUAGUCCACACCGUAAACGAUGAUUACUAGGUGUUGGAGGAUUGACCCCUUCAGUGCCGCAGUUAACACAAUAAGUAAUCCACCUGGGGAGUACGACCGCAAGGUUGAAACUCAAAGGAAUUGACGGGGGCCCGCACAAGCAGUGGAGUAUGUGGUUUAAUUCGACGCAACGCGAAGAACCUUACCAAGUCUUGACAUCCCUUGACGAACAUAGAAAUAUGUUUUCUCUUCGGAGCAAGGAGACAGGUGGUGCAUGGUUGUCGUCAGCUCGUGUCGUGAGAUGUUGGGUUAAGUCUCGCAACGAGCGCAACCCUUAUGGUCAGUUACUACGCAAGAGGACUCUGGCCAGACUGCCGUUGACAAAACGGAGGAAGGUGGGGAUGACGUCAAAUCAUCAUGCCCUUUAUGACUUGGGCUACACACGUACUACAAUGGCGUUAAACAAAGAGAAGCAAGACCGCGAGGUGGAGCAAAACUCAGAAACAACGUCCCAGUUCGGACUGCAGGCUGCAACUCGCCUGCACGAAGUCGGAAUUGCUAGUAAUCGUGGAUCAGCAUGCCACGGUGAAUACGUUCCCGGGCCU
rnacentral:rRNA from 1 species